GUCGGAGAAGGAGCUCAACGAAGGAGUUUACUCUAAGCACCGCAAUAUUUGUAGACGUCCAAAGCAGAGAUCCAAUAUCUGUAGACAUGAUCUUCGGUGUAAGGCCUCAUCGAUGGUGGACAGUGUUCCGUGAGAGCACGCGUCUAAGACACGGAAGAACGAGGGAAGUUGAGGCGGCCGUCCGGCUGCCGCAUAUCGGCAGUGAGACCGACCGUCCGCCAGCCCGAGCAGGUGACGAUCCGGUGAGAGUGUUCUUGUGGUUACGCACGUGCCAAUUGGACCCGUUAUUCCUCGCCCACUUCCUUGUUGGGCUGAGCCCAUUUAUUUCAGUUUCUAGCGUUGGUCGUAGAUGGGCCUAACUUGUUGGGCCCAUUAAAGAUGGGAAGCGGACGGAUACCCUAGGCGGACGAUUUGCGGCGGAGGA
rnacentral:lncRNA from 1 species